rnacentral:rRNA from 1 species
AACGAACGCUGGCGGCAGGCUUAACACAUGCAAGUCGAACGCCCCUUACGGGGAGUGGCAGAAGGGUGAGUAACGCGUGGGAAUCUACCCAUCUCUACGGAAUAACUCAGGGAAACUUGUGCUAAUACCGUAUACGCCCUUCGGGGGAAGAUUUAUCGGAGAUGGAUGAGCCCGCGUUGGAUUAGCUAGUUGGUGGGUAA